UCAAACUUGGUCAUUUAGAGGAAGUAAAAGUCGUAACAAGGUUUCCGUAGGUGAACCUGCGGAAGGAUCAUUAUUGAAAAAAAAUAUCUGGGAUUUAUUUUCCAUUUAAUCCGGUGAACUUGUUUCUUUCUUAGAUUUCUGCUUGGCAGCGCUUUGAAGAAAGGCCUGCCAUCAGUUAUCGAUAUUAUACCCUUUUUUUAUCAAGAAGUCUGAAAUACUAAAAAUAAAAAAUUGAAAAACUUUCAACAACGGAUCUCUUGGUUCUCGCAUCGAUGAAGAACGCAGC
rnacentral:misc_RNA from 1 species